rnacentral:lncRNA from 1 species
GCUGGGACCUGUUGGACGUGAGGGUGUUGAGCAUGUAGAACAUCUCCUGGAUCAGGAAGUAGAUGUUAGGGUCACUGUUGGUGGCUGCCCCAGUGCUGCCACAGUCCCACUUCUAUGGCUCAUUCAGGAGCCUAAGCAGCGAGGGGCUGUUGCUGGAAUUUGCCUUCUGGAAGAGCUCAUACGUGUUUAGCAGGUCCCCCGAGGGAGGGUUCUUCUUCUCCAUGACCUUGUGGGAGAUGCCAUACAGAGGCUUCUUGUAGUAAGGGGUGGUGGCAUGGUUGCGGGGCUCCUCCUUGCCUGGCCACACAGAGCCCGAGCUCCUGCCUUGCCGGCCUGCUCUCCAUUGCCUUGGCAGGGCGAGCUGUUCUCGGGUUCCACAUGCCUGCUAGGAGCGCCUCUGGGAUCAGCUACCUCCUCUCCACGCUGGGGAUGGAGUCUGGCUGGCCAUUGCUGACCAGCUGAGUCCUGGAGGGCAGUAAAGACGCUGUCCAGAAGGUGCUUCUCAGAAGUCCUGGAAUUCACGGAGCAGCCUAGAGCAGCAUCUUUGGCCUCUGUCUCCACUCUCACUUCUUAGAAGUUCUUCUACAUCAAUUUUUUUUGGAGAUGGUUCUGACUCUGUCACCCAGGCUGGAGUGCAGCAGUUGCUCAGAGCUCACUGCAUCCUUGACCUCCCAGACUCAAAAGAGCCUAGCUACUUAGGAGUAGCUAGGACUACAGGCCACGGCCACCAUGCCUGGCUAAUCUUUUAAAUUUUUUGUAGAGGCAGAGGUCUCUCAUUGUGUUGCCCAGACAAGUCUCAAAUUCUCGGGCUCAAGUGUUCCUCCCAAAGUGCUGGGAUUAAUGGCGUGAGCCACUGUACCUGGCCAUAUUUUUUUUUUCAAAAAAUUCAUUUGUAGAGUUUAAAAAGUAUCUUUUGAUCAAGAGUUCUUAUUGUAUUUAUGUUUGCAAAUUUCAUUUCCCAUUCUGUUGCUUGCCUUUUCACUCUCAGUGAGUUAUUUUAUGAUUACAAAUCCUUAUUUUUUAUGUUAUUUUAUUACUAUUUAUUAACUUAUUUAUCUUAUUUAUUAGCCUUCAAUCGUUACUUUUUGAGUCUUUUUUAAAAUCUUAAGGUCAUAGAAGUGUCCUCUGUAUUACUUUUUAAAAACUGUACUGUUUUAUGUUACACAUUGGCUUCUAUAUGAAAUAAUUUUUGUGUAUGUUGUGAGGUUGGAUGUUAAUAUUCAUUUUUAUCUGUACCGAUGUAUGAAAGACAGCACAAUUUAUUGAAAAUGAAUCUUUUCCUCAUUGUACUGAAGCACUAUUUUUUUCACAAAUCAGCUAAAUAUAUUGUGUGGUUCUCUUUACGAGCUCUCUAUUCUGUUUCAUUGAAAUAUCUAUACUUGCACCUUUUCCAUAAUGUCAUAAUUAAUAUACAUUUAUAAAAACUUUAUAUCUAAUAGUGUAAGUCUUCACAUUAUAUUUUUUCUUCAAAGUUAUCUAUACACUGCAUUUUUAUUUGCAUUUUAUAGUCAGUUUUUCAGUUGCCACCAAAUAUAAUGCAGACAAAUUAUGCUAUUACUAAUCACAGUAUUGUGAUUUUCAGUGUAUUACAAAUAUAGAUUUAUUUAAAAUACUGAAUCUUUCUUCUAAUACCAGGAAUGACAUAGGACUCACAGUACACCUUUAUUUCUGUUGAAUAUCUUUAAUUUCUCUCAGUAAAAUUUCACAAUUUUCAGUAAAGGGAUUGCAUAUGAUAUGUUACAUUUUAUAUUAGGAAUUCAAUGUUUCUUCCUGGAAACAUUUCAGAUUUUUAAUAUUUUAUUUGAUUUAGACUCACUACAUUUGGAAAGCUUUAAUUGUAAUUUUAUUUUUAAUAGAUAUAGAGCUAUUAGGAUUUGCUAUUUAUUCUUGUGUCACUAUUAAUGAUUUUCUAGAAAUGUAUCUAUUUCAUCAAAUUAUUUCAAAAUUUUUGACUUAAAGUUACUUAUUACAUUCUCUUUUUCUCUCCCAUGACUAUAGAAUCUAUAAUGAUUUCCUUGUUAUUAUUCAUGAUAUUUAGAAUUUGUGGAUACUCUUUUUUUUAAAUUUCAUGCAUAAUCAUGGUAUAUUUUUAUCAGUCUUUUCAAAGUAACUUUGGCUUUUGCUGAUUUCAUUUAUUUUAUGAUUGUUUCCUUUUCUCAUGCUUCUUAUGUAUCUUCUCUUUUCUAAUUCUUUGGAUUUAAUUUGACAUCACAUUUUAAAUUUUUGAAAUUGACAAUUAGAUUAUUAAUUUUCAAGCUUUAAUUUUUUAAACAUAUUUAUGUAAGCAUAUGCAUUUAUCUCCAAGCUGAGGUUUGCCUAAGCCUCCCAUCUUUUAACAAGCAGUAUUUUUACUUUCGUUUUUAUUAAAUUCAAAAUAUAUUUUAAUAUUCACUGUAAUUACUUUUUCGAUCCAUGAAUAACUUAGAAAUGUGAUGCUUAAUUUCUAAACAUUUGGUCACUUUCAAAGUCUUGCUAUAGAUUUGCAGCUUAAUAACAUUGUUGUACAAAAAACACUGUCAAGGAUUUCAAAUUUUUGGUAUUUAUUGAUUCUUGUUUUGGGCCUAACCUCAGCCUAUAUCUGUCUAUCUAACCUAUCUAUCUAUCUAUCUAUCUAUCUAUCUAUCUAUCUAUCUAUCUACCUACCUACCUAUCUAUUAUCUAUCUACCUAGAUAGACAGAGAUAUCUAUAGAUAGCUAUGGUAAAUUUUGAAACACGUUCCAAAUACAUUAUAAUAAAUUGUGUGUUUUGCUAUUUUUGGGUGCAGUUUUUAUAUCAAAGUAUUUAAUCCUACUGCUUUAAAUUUUUCUAUUAUUAUUGAUAUUUUGUAUCCUUUUUGCUAUCAGUUAUUGAAAAAGGUAUAUUAAAGUCUUUAUGAUUGAAGACGCGGCUAUUGCUCCUUUUAGUUCUAUAAAAAUUGUAAAUGUGUGUUAACUGUGUGUGAGUGAAUAUACAUACACAAGUUUGACAACUUCCUCAAUAGUUGAUUCUUUUAUAUGGAUGAUGGAUACAUCUUCCUUUCAAGUAAUAAUUUCUGCCUUAAAAUCUCUUUUGUCUGAUAUUAACAUAGCUAAACAAAUUUUCAUUUGGCUUGUGUUUGAUUACCUUUUAUAUGCAUAUAUGAAAGGUUUUUAAAUUAAGAUGGUUCUAUAGAUAGAUAUAUAGAUAGAAGAUAGUAGAUAUCUUCUAC